UUUGAGGUGUUCUUCCCUGGCAGAUGCUCU
rnacentral:piRNA from 1 species